CAGGGAGGGCCGCGGGCUUGGCUGUAGUUGGGGGGGAGGAAGUGGCCAGCUCAGGGCCUCAGGGGGCAGAUGGGGGAGAUGACAGGCUUAGAUGAGACUCGAGGGGGUUGGGGUGUGAGACUAAGAAAGGUUAAAGAGGAAACGAGAUCUUGGGGAACGUAUGGUGGGGAGAGCUGCGUUGAAGGUCCCCGCAGUGACCCAGGGGAGGACAGCCCUUUAGCCCUGGCUGUCGCUUCCUUCUGGAGAACGGGAACUUGGCCUCUAGGAGGGCACCGCUCCUGCGUGGGCCGAGCGAGCCCCGUGCCCUGGUUUGUGUGGGAGGAGGAGAGAAGUUAGAAGCAGGAGGAGAACAGGAUCUCAACGCCCUUACUGGAGAGGAAGCGGAAUUGGGCAUUUGGCUCCCUGAGCAUGAUCAGGAAGGAAGGCAGUGGGGUGCAGGGCCCCAGGAGGGCUGGGAGGGCAGACCUCGAACUCGUCAAUGUCAGCAGCCCCCUUUUUUUUCAGAGGGUUGUGAACCCGCGUGGGGAUGAGGCCUGGUCUUGUGGAUACUGAACUUAGCUUCGCGGGCCUGACAGCUCUGGCCCAGGGUGGUAUGUAAUUUUGGUUCGGCCUGGGACAGGGUCCAGGCCAUGCCCAGCCUGGUGAACCCCAGUCCUGGGUCACACACCAGUCCUGGGUGUGAGGUCAGACCCUUUGUCGGAGGUAAGGGUGGUCUCAGGAGUGAGUGAGGUAGGGUGCGAGGUAGGGUGCCAUCAAAGCGGUUACUGGUGUGGCGCCUGACGCCUGACAGGCUGGGGCUGCUGAGGCAGGAUAUUUGUGUGUGUGGGGACAAAAUUGACCCAAGCUUUAUUUUCCAGGUGGCAGUGCUCCCCUUUGGACUUUUCCUCUAGGUUCCGUGCUAACUUCUUCUGUGAGCUCACUCUGCCCUUCCUCCUCCCUUUAACUCUCUUGAGGUUAUCCAUUCGUUUAAAACAUUGCUUCUGGUAACCUGGUAAGCCUGGGAAAGUUGGCAACGGCCUUGAGAAGUUCGGUUAUGUCGGUAAUCGUGGAGGAGGAGAGGCACGCCCUGCUGAGACUCGGGGUGGGGUGGGGUGGUCUUGCUUGCCUGCGGAGAGGGUGGGGACUGAAUGUGUACCCUUGGGUGGGCCUGCAGCGACGGCACCAGCUGAAAGUUACGAAAUGCCUCAUGGACCAUGGUUUGUUACUAUAGUGUUCAUCGUGGUGAUCAGAUGGCACCAGGAGAAAUGGAGCCCAUGGCCAGUGUGAGUCGUAGCAGUGCAGGAGGGGAGACCCUGAAGGAGAGAGCCCGCCUAAGUUGAUGUCUGCAGAUUGAAUUUCCAGAGGCUUAGGAGGUGGAAGUUUCUCCAGUGUCCUGUUUCCAGGCCUUGCUCAGGAAGCCCUGUAUUCAGGCAGCCACCAUUUAAGGUUUUCAGAUGAGCUCAUGAGGGGGCAAUCAUUCAAAGUCCAAAGCAGAUGCAUCGGGCCAUCAGCAGAUCUGUUGCUUUGAAUGUUUGAUCCCGGAGCACCAACCAACCCCCAGGCACCCCUCCUUCUCUGGGGCGGAGGUUUUCAGAUGCUGCGUCUUCUAAAUUGAGCCUUCGGUCUUUGCUAGUUCUGUGCUACGAACAUGGCUUCAAGAAGAUUCUUAAGCUGUAGGACGUUCUAACGUGCCACAACGCAGAGUCAUGCCUUGUAGAUGAAUCUUGCAGAUGGAGCCCAGUGACUCGUUCACCUACCCACGCGCCUGCCUGCCUGCACGUUGGUUGGAGGAAUUAGUGUGAUGGUCUAACCUGUGUCUGGGGAAAGUGUUCACAUUUGAAAUGCCUUGAGCAAAUACUUCAAUGAAGCCUACUGGCAAACUGAAGGGGGUNNNNNNNNNNNNNNNNNNNNNNNNNNNNNNNNNNNNNNGUCGUGUUAUGCUACAGUCCAGGGGUGGGUACAAGUUGGUUGUGGCCAAAUUCUGUUAGAAAUGGCAGGUCUUUGGGCAUUCUGACUGCAUCACAGAUGACUAAGUGAGGGAAAUGGUUGGGGGACUACCAGUGAUCUUUGAUGCUUCUAUGUAUUUGUUAAUGUGGAUUUUGCUUGAUUUAAUUUGAAAGUAAACUUCAAAUGGGAGGACCCAACUGAGGUGUGAGGGUUGGGGGGGGGGCACACCUUGGCAUCGGUUCUGGCAGGGGUGACAGUUGGAGUGGUACACGUUGGCAUUGGUACUGGGAGGGGUGGGGGUGAGGAAAGGGAGAGGGUUGGGUUGAUACCGUAUACGUUGCAGAGGGUAGGGGUGGUAGGGAAUGGGGGUUGGAAGGGAAUUCCGACAAAAAGGGUAAAAUUCUGGGGAAGGUAAUCGACUCACAGGGGAAGAAGGUACUAGUUAACGCUACUAAAUUGUUAGUGCUAGUUACAUUGUGCUUCGAAAGCACAAAAGAUUGCUUCAAAACUUUAGAAAGAAGCUAAAAUUGUUUUGCCUUGCUGCAAGGUGGGAAAGAGGGAGGACAACUGAACAUGAGUACAAGUCCCAUGAAAGCUGGGUGGCAGGAGUCCCCGUCGGCAGAGUGCUCACUAGCCUUUGCUGCUCCGUGAGCUUUUUCAGUGGUUUAUAUGAAGGUGUGCGGGUGUUGGGGAGCUGUAAGUCUUAGAAAGGACUUUAAAUGUGCAAAUUGUGAGCUUUUAAAGUAUUGAAGUUUAAAAUUGUGGUGUGCACUUGAGAUUAGAUGUACUCUUUGGGGUUUGGAACAUUUCUAUUUACUGAGAUGUUGUGGUUGAAAAUUCUGAGCAAAGUGAACGUGCAAUGAUAGGAAUUUUAUGUCUCAAACACAUCUCUUGCCUUUGUGGUCCGUAUUAAUAGCAGUAAAAAUUUUUGCUAUUAGUUUUUGUAACAGAAUAACCUUUUUAUGGUCACUGUAAAAUUACUGUGAUAUAUAAUAGCAAACAAUCCAUGUAGCCUUGCAAAGGUUGAGUGAAUCGAUUCUAUCUUUAGUUUGAACAUUUGUGCUUUUCAGAUUGAUCCAGCACUGGAGCAACUCUCAGCCAAAAUCAGUUUGGGGAACAGGCAAAAUGGUGGCGGGGGGGAGCGGGGAGCCUUUGCUAGAUGUGGUCUGUUUUUAAAAAUUCAGGGAAAGACAAGAAAACCAUUUAUGAUUACGUGUUUCUGAGAUGCAUCCAGGGAGUUGGUAAAGUAAUACCAGUAGCUCUUUCUCCUGUGCCUCUAACCUUAGAUUUCACUAAAAAUUUAAAAUCCCCAAUACCUUUUGCUUCUGGGAUUUUUGUCUUAUGGGUUCUUUUUUAAUGUUUAAAAAUAUGUUGGUAUCGUUCAGCUUUUCAUCAUGACUUGGGUAUGAUGUAAUUCCUGUCCUCAGAAUUUAUUAGUCAUGCGCAUAUGGGGAAAUGUGUUUGUGUAUGCUGUUGUGAAAUGGAAGCUGUUACACUGCGUAAAGUACUUCUGUGUUGCUCUGUGCUGAGAACUAGUCUUCUGUUGCAUCGUGUACAUGAUUACUAAUCAUUUUCUUUACAGCACAAAUAAAGGUUUGAGUUCUAAAACUCUUUAAUUUGUAUUGCUAUCUUAUGUUUUUCGACCUUUAUCUUUUCUGUAAACAAGUUAUCUUGAUAAUGAAGUAGGAUGUAUCAUCUUCUUACAGAUUGAGGCCUAGAUUUGCUGUUCAUUAUUUGCUUUGAAUAAUUGAGGUCACUUAGUGGAAUGUGUAGUAACUUCAAAUAAAACGUGUCCUCAAUGGUCUGCAGCCUGGUGGACAGGAAUGGGGGCUCAGCUCACCGUAGGGAGUGUCUAAUAGUCGUGCAAACUGAUGCUGAACCACCCAGCCGGUGAAGGUCAGUGUCAAGGUCCUGGGCGAGUACUUUGAUAUCCUGGAACUUUAACUGGUUAGAUUUCCAAAUGGUAUCGUUGGAAGGGGGACCUAUCAUUCCCUUUGCUGAAGGGAGACCGUCUGAAGAAUACAACAGACACGUGUUCUGUGUUUUCUGUACUUGUGGUUUGGGGGGAGCUGGAAUGUAUUUUGGACUUGAAUCGAAACACAAUUCUCAUCUUUAGUACCAAAGACUUUGGUUUGGCUUUAUUGGUUUGGUAAGUGACAUGAGUUUGGGCUCGAUUGUGCACCUGCUCUGCGGAGCAGGCCAAGGUUAAACAGAGUGUGAACAGAAGCUCUUGGAAUCCAUAGUUUGUCUCAUGUGUCCAAAUUGACUGUCCUGGGUGGGGAAGUGGCAGGAGGCUCAUCCUGGGAGCAAAGUCCUCACACUGCUGUUGUGUAUUUACUCUUGGGCCCAAAGGUUUUGCCUCGCAGGAGGCAAAACUUUGGGCUCAGGAUAGAAACCCUUGCCAACCUCCGUUAAGGCUUUAGUUUGCAAGGGAGCCGAAAGGGAAGUUUACCUUGGAAGGGGAGAGGAGAUGGGACAGGUAGGUCUGUGACCAAAACAAAGGGGUGGGAGAGCGUGGCCUAAAGAAUUCCUCCAAGAGCAGGCAUGGGAUUGGCUAUUGUCCUCCCUCCUUGUGUCUAGAUGGCCUGCGUCUAGGGUCCUGGUAAACCCUCAUGUGUCUGCUACUGAAAAACUGGAGAUGGGUGCUGGGGAGGAGGAAGUGGCCGGGCAGGGGUGGGGGGUGUGGGACAGGCUAAAGGCUCUGCUGAGAGUGGGCACGUCUGUGUGCAAGUUUCAGGAUCCUUUCCCUGCUCACCACUCUGGUCCUUCAUCCCUGUAGAACAAUCUAGGUCUCCUUUCCUAUCUUACCCCUUCCCUUCUCUUUGCUUUUUACCCCAGCCCUCCUCCAGCUGCCCUGCCCUCUUUUCAGAAUUAGUUUCUUCUUGUUUUUUAUAUGCUGACUACAAAACUCUUGCUUCCAACCUUGAAGGUAACUGCUAUAAAUGUUUUUCUAAAUGGCAGUGUUUCCUAGCAACUAUGUUGGCUGAUAAAGGAUUUCCAUAAGGGUGUGAUUGGCACCCAAUGGUUGGUAUUGGCAGACAGCAGGCAGCUGAAGCUCAGGCCUCCUAGCCUCCACCCAAUCCAGGGGCUCCUGAGAUGGUCUGUGAAAAAGCUUUCUACCUGUUCUUCACCCACAAUUAUUCUCCCAUCAAGUGAAUAGGCUGCAGGUGUGAAUGACCGUGUUGAUGAUUUUGGUAAUCAUUUUGCCUUCUAGUGCAUAGAUCUGAACUCGGCCUUCUCUCUGAACUCGCACAGGCAGUGGAUGACACAAUGAAAUUCACUAAGUAGAAAAUGGUGAUCUGGUGCAAGAUCAAAGUAAUGGGGGCAUAAGGAUAGCAAAAGUUGCGUUUGGAAGUUCAUUUAAAAAGGAAAAUAGCCUAAGAGUAAGUAUGGGUUGAGGCCUCUCUGUGCCCAGGUUGGGCAUAGUCAGAACUGUCUAAGUGGCUCUCCUUACAAAAGGGAUCAGACGCUAACCACCACCUCUUCCACUCUGUCGGCUGCCCUUGGUUUGUCUUCCUGACCUUGGACAUUAAGGGACUUGUAGGACCUCUUAUGCCUCUCUGUGUGGCUGAGUGUCUGGAGGAAAUGUUAACCUCUGGUCUGCUUUCUAUUGUGUGGUGCUGAUAUUAAAUGAAAUGCAAACAGGCUUACAGAUACUUGUAUGUUUUAAGUGUUCGUAUUUAACACAGACUUGCACCCCUGCAGUCUGGAAGUGGGCAGAGGAAGGUAGCAAAAUAACAAAAAAUAAAAAGAUGCAAAGGUGUAUGUCCC
rnacentral:lncRNA from 1 species